CAUCAAUAAUCCUUUUCUUGAUCCAUUUUGGUUGGGAAAGGAUUUUUGGACUUGGAGGUUCCAUGCUUGCUUUCUUCUUUUUUUGAAAGUGGGCUCCUCUCAAAUGAAUUAGUGGGGUCCGCUUUGCUGAUCCUUGACGUGAUAAACUGUUUCUACGUUUUGGACUUUAGCACUGUGCUUUGGGAUGCCUGCUCCUAACUGUCCCCUGGACAAACGAUGGUGCCUCUGGUCACCGCCAAUCUACAUUGGCGGGUAGGCUGGACCCACAAUAAAACCCUUGACC
rnacentral:misc_RNA from 1 species